rnacentral:rRNA from 1 species
CCUACGGGGGGCUGCAGUGGGGAAUAUUGCACAAUGGGGGAAACCCUGAUGCAGCGACGCCGCGUGAGUGAAGAAGUACUUCGGUACGUAAAGCUCUAUCAGCAGGGAAGAAAAUGACGGUACCUGACUACGAAGCCCCGGCUAAUUACGUGCCAGCAGCCGCGGUCAUACGGAGGGGGCACGCGUUAUCCGGAUUUACUGGGUGUAAAGGGAGCGUAGACGGCAGCGCAAGUCUGGAGUGAAAUCCCAGGGCUUAACCAUGGAACUGCUUUGGAAACUGUGCAGCUGGAGUGCAGGAGAGGUAAGCGGAAUUCCUAGUGUAGCGGUGAAAUGCGUAGAUAUUAGGAGGAACACCAGUGGCGAAGGCAGCUUACUGGACUGUAACUGACGUUGAGGCUCGAAAGCGUGGGGAGCAAACAGGAUUAGAUACCCUUGUAGUC